GGCAUGUUGGGCGCCGACGUUGGCUAUGGCGCGUACGCCGCCGGCACCGCAGCAACCGCUGCGGGGGCGACCGGUGCGGCUGCGGCAGGUGCCGC
rnacentral:tRNA from 1 species